AGUGAACGCUGGCGGUAGGCCUAACACAUGCAAGUCGAACGGCAGCACAGUAAGAGCUUGCUCUUACGGGUGGCGAGUGGCGGACGGGUGAGGAAUACAUCGGAAUCUACUUUUUCGUGGGGGAUAACGUAGGGAAACUUACGCUAAUACCGCAUACGACCUACGGGUGAAAGCAGGGGAUCUUCGGACCUUGCGCGAUUGAAUGAGCCGAUGUCGGAUUAGCUAGUUGGCGGGGUAAAGGCCCACCAAGGCGACGAUCCGUAGCUGGUCUGAGAGGAUGACACGCCCACCUGGAACUGGGACCCGGUCCAGCCCCCUACGGGGGGCAGCAGGGGGGAAUAUUGAAAAAGGGGCGCAAGCCGGACCCAGCCAUACCGGGGGGGGGAAAAAGGCCUCCGGGUUUUAAAGCCCUUUUUUUGGGAAAAAAAAGCAGCAGGUUAAUACCCCGCUGUUCUGACGGUACCCAAAGAAUAAGCCCCGGCUAAUUUCGU
rnacentral:rRNA from 1 species